rnacentral:rRNA from 1 species
UACGUAGGGGGCAAGCGUUGUCCGGAAUCAUUGGGCGUAAAGAGCGUGUAGGCGGCCAGGUAGGUCGGUUGUGAAAACUGGAGGCUCAACCUUCAGAGGUCGACCGAAACCAUCUGGCUAGAGUCCGGGAGAGGAGAGUGGAAUUCCUGGUGUAGCGGUGAAAUGCGCAGAUAUCAGGAAGAACACCCGUGGCGAAAGCGGCUCUCUGGAACGCAACUGACGCUGAGACGCGAAAGCGUGGGGAGCAAACCGG